rnacentral:rRNA from 1 species
AUUGAACGCUGGCGGCAGGCCUAACACAUGCAAGUCGAACGAGUGGCGGACGGGUGAGUAAUGUCUGGGAAACUGCCCGAUGGAGGGGGAUAACAACUGGAAACGGUAGCUAAUACCGCAUACCAUCGGAUGUGUCCAGAUGGGAUUGUCUAGUAGGGGUGGUAACGGCUCACCUAGGCGACGACCCCUAGCUGGUCUGAGAGGCUGACCGGCCACACUGGAACUGAGACACGGUCCAGACUCCUACGGGUGGCAGGAGUGGGGAAUAUUGCACAAGGGGCGCAAGCCGGAUGCAGCAGUGCCGCGUGUAUGAAUAAGGUCUUCUGGUUGUAAUGUACUUUCAGCGGGAAGGCGUUACCCGCAGAAGAAGCUACGGCUAACUCCGUGCCAGCAGCCGCGGUAAUAC